AAAUAUCAACACCUGCAGUGCUUAAAAAGGUUUUGUGCUAAAGCGACUCAAGAUUUCUUUGAUAAGCUACCUCAUUCAGGGAUCGGAAACCGGUAUUUCUUGUAUGGGAACGAAAACGGUAUUUUUUCGUUCUUUGUUAAUGAAGUAUCAUUUCUAAUUAGGCAAUCUAAAUAAUACGAAGUCGUUAUCUGAAAACACAACUGAGUACUACAUUUAGAGUAUAAAAUAAACCGAAAUAUAUGGUUAUUUCGAUGUUUUUGCAAAAAACCGGUUCCGAUCCCUGACCUCAUUAUUGACUUUAACCUUUUGAACCCCAAGAGCCACUAAAGUGGUCGUGUGCUGUCGUGCCUACCACGCCAACGACCACUAAAGAGGUCAUGGCAGACGCUGUCAAAGCUAUUUUACUGUUGAUAGAUAAGGUUUAAAUUCGUUUCUCAAUAGUUGACAUAUGCCACAUUUUGAUGCGAGGGAGAAAGCGUUGAAAAGGUUAAUUACUACUACUGUUUAUCUAUGACAUAUGUCAUAGAUAGUUUUCUUUUUAUUUUGAGUGAGAGAAUCUCACGCUUUAAUUUCAAUUGAAAAGCAGAAAUUAUUAAUAACAUAUUUACGGAAACAUGAUGAAAACUGACGAUAAUAGAUUAUUUAACCAUGCGUAUUGGAAAAUUUGUAUAACUAUGCGUUUCAAUGUAGAUAACUAUAUGGCUCAAAAUAACCACUUCUAGAAAAGGUGAACAGUAUAAAGGAAUCGAUUUUUAAAUUGUCACUUCGUGGAUUCAUACAGUCCGAACUGUUUCAUGAUAUUCUCCCAAUUUGGGAUAUAGAUCUAGAUAAAGAAAAUUAUAUUUUAACAGGAGAUUUCUGCCAAUGCGGUUAUAAUAUUGAUACCGCACAUGAUUACAAUUUCGAACUGUUUCUCCCUAAUUUGUUCUGCAUACCAUGUGCCGGACCGCUAUUUUCAGUAAAGUCUUAAAUCACUCCA